CAGUGUUUAAAGUAAAUUUUUGGAAGUCAGCUGGAGCCCUAAUGUAGAAAGACUUUGGAAAAACAAAGACAGGCUUCAUGUCUCCCACUGAUGUUACAAGUGAUAAGUGACUUUAAAAAGGUCUGUAAUAUGGCAGGUAUAUGCAGAUUAAAGAGCAGCAUUACUUUCAGGAUUUUAUUUUAGAUUUUGA